rnacentral:lncRNA from 1 species
UGUCCCUCAAACACACUCCCUCCCUCCUGUCCCUAUCACCAUCCCUCCCUCUGUCCCAUCACCCACUCCCUCCCUGUGUCCCAUCAACACUCCCUCCCUCUGUCCAUCAAAAAACACUCCCUCCCUCUUGUACCAUCAACCACUCUCCCUCUGUCCAUCAACACUCCCUCCCUCGUCCCACAAACACUCCCUCCCUUUUGUGUCCCAUCAAACACUCCCUCCCUCUGUCCCACCAACACUCCCUCUGUCCCACCAACACUCCCUCUGUCCCAUCAACACUCCCUCUGUCCCAUCAACACUCCUCCCUGUCCCACCAACACUCCCUCCCUCUGUCCCAUCAAACACUCCCUCCUCUGUCCCAUCAACACUCCCUCCCUUCUGUCCCAUCAACCACUCCCUCCCUCUGUCCAUC